rnacentral:rRNA from 1 species
GUUCAGAUUGCAGGCUGCAACUCGCCUGCAUGAAGUCGGAAUUGCUAGUAAUCGUAGGUCAGCAUACUACGGUGAAUACGUUCCCGGGCCUUGUACACACCGCCCGUCAAACCAUGAGAGUUGGCAACACCCGAAGUCCGUAGCCUGACCGCAAGGGGGCGCGGCCGAAGGUGGGUUCGAUAAUUGGGGUGAAGUCGUAACAAGGUAGC